ACAAGUGCAACAUCAGCAGUGUUGGAGAGUCUCCACCCAGCUGGGUCUCUGUCACAGAGAAACCUACAACUACAGAACCACCAACCUCAGACCCCCUCCCCCUUGUGUUCAGAGUAGUCGUCCACCUGGUGGUGUUCUGUCCGUACUGCAUCUCCACUUUCAUCAUGGUGUCUUUAUAUCGAGGCAGGGCCACAGGAAAUGGCCUACCUGUCGCCAUGGUGAUGACCUU